rnacentral:rRNA from 1 species
GACAGAGGAUGCAAGCGUUAUCCGGAAUGAUUGGGCGUAAAGCGUCUGUAGGUGGCUUUUUAAGUCUGCCGUCAAAUCCCAGGGCUUAACCCUGGACAGGCGGUGGAAACUACCAAGCUGGAGUACGGUAGGGGCAGAGGGAAUUUCCGGUGGAGCGGUGAAAUGCGUAGAUAUCGCUUGGAACGCCAAAGGUGAAAACAGACAGCUGGGAGUGUGCUGACGCUGAGACACGAAAGCCAGGGGAGCGAACGGG